rnacentral:rRNA from 1 species
AUUGAACGCUGGCGGCAGGCCUAACACAUGCAAGUCGAACGAGUGGCGGACGGGUGAGUCAUGUCUGGGAAACUGCCUGAUGGAGGGGGAUAACUACUGGAAACGGUAGCUAAUACCGCAUACCAUCGGAUGUGCCCAGAUGGGAUUAGCUAGUAGGUGGGGUAAAGGCUCACCUAGGCGACGAACCCUAGCUGGUCUGAGAGGAUGACCAGCCACACUGGAACUGAGACACGGUCCAGACUCCUACGGGAGGCAGCAGUGGGGAAUAUUGCAAAAUGGGCGCAAGACUGAUGCAGCCAUGCCGCGUGUAUGAAGAAGGCCUUCGGGUUGUAAAGUACUUUCAGCGGGGAGGCGUUACCCGCAGAAGAAGCACCGGCUAACGCCGUGCCAGCAGCCGCGGUAAUUC